GAAACCAACAGGGAUUGCCUUAGUAACGGCGAGUGAAGCGGCAACAGCUCAAAUUUGAAAUCUGGCCCCAGGCCCGAGUUGUAAUUUGCAGAGGAUGCUUUUGGCGCGGUGCCUUCCGAGUUCCCUGGAACGGGACGCCAUAGAGGGUGAGAGCCCCGUCUGGUUGGAUACCAAGCCUUUGUAAAGCUCCUUCGACGAGUCGAGUAGUUUGGGAAUGCUGCUCUAAAUGGGAGGUAUAUGUCUUCUAAAGCUAAAUACCGGCCAGAGACCGAUAGCGCACAAGUAGAGUGAUCGAAAGAUGAAAAGCACUUUGGAAAGAGAGUUAAACAGCACGUGAAAUUGUUAAAAGGGAAGCGUUUAUGACCAGACUUGGGCCGGUUAAUCAUCCAGCGUUCUCGCUGGUGCACUUUGCCGGUCCAGGCCAGCAUCAGUUCGCUGCGGGGGAUAAAGGCGUCGGGAAUGUGGCUCCUCCGGAGUGUUAUAGCCCUUCGCGCAAUACCCUGCGGUGGACUGAGGUUCGCGCAUCUGCAAGGAUGCUGGCGUAAUGGUCAUCAACGACCCGUCUUGAAACACGGACCAAGGAGUCGUCUUCGUAUGCGAGUGUUCGGGUGUAAAACCCCUACGCGUAAUGAAAGUGAACGCAGGUGAGAGCUUCGGCGCAUCAUCGACCGAUCCUGAUGUUCUCGGAUGGAUUUGAGUAAGAGCAUACGGGGCCGGACCCGAAAGAAGGUGAACUAUGCCUGUAUAGGGUGAAGCCAGAGGAAACUCUGGUGGAGGCUCGCAGCGGUUCUGACGUGCAAAUCGAUCGUCAAA
rnacentral:rRNA from 1 species